UUCUGGCUAUGUUGAGGUGACUGUGUAGAGCCAGUGCAACGAGAAUGAUUUAGAGUGCUCUUUAACUUCAGAAUCGUUCUGGCUGUGUUGAGCUGACCUCCCAGUUGUUAUAGUAGACUAAAACUUUCCUAUGUAAACAAUUUAUUUUUAAUAAAAGUUUAUUCGUUCGAGAAUUUGCAUUUGGUUAUUAGUCGCCUAUAAUUUGAAAAAUGAUUAUUCAAUAUAUUAAUUGCAAGAGUCCAAAUAUUGUAAUAGUAUUUGAGAUGUUGUGUUAAGUUAGGAUGUUGUACACGUAAGAUCAUUUUUAAAGUUCGUUUAGAAUAUUAAGUUUAUAAGCUUAAUUGGGAACUUAUAAACUUAAUAUUCUAAACGAACUUUAAUUGUGUGUGUGAGAGAGAGAGAGAGUGAGAGAGGCGGCGGAAAAAAGCUGAGCCGCCGUGCCAAAACCCUUAUUGGUUUUACCGCCAAAAGCCUCGUCAAUUUCGUUCUGUCCUUGAUUUUGUUUGGUUGAUUUACACCUUUGUGUUGAUUUAUUCCUGUAAAUCUAUCUUAAUUUUUUUUAAGUUUAUGAUAAUUAUAGAAAAAAAAAAUUAUUAUUAUUUUAAGAUAAAUAGUAUAUGAUUCUUCAAGAAUUAUUGUUCUUUUUAUGAAUAAACAUCAACCCAAAUCAUUUGUUGGUUCCGAUUAAUUCAUGAUUCGUAUUUUUAGAGAAAAUUUCACUUUUUUUAAACUUUAAAUUCUAAUUAUUAAUAGGUGUUUGAGACAUUACUAAGAAAAAUCUCAAAAUAAGUUUAAAUAAUUCCGCUUGAAAGCCAUACAACUAAUCGAGCUCGAGUCAGAGUUCAUCGAACUUUAAUUAUUAUUAUUUUUAGUUCAAAUAGGAUAGUUGCCCAAAAAGCUUAAACCUUUGUAUCAUAAGUGAUGAUGAUAGCAUUGAUAAUAAUGUAUAUUAAUCAAUAUAGAUUAUAUAACAUUGACUCGUCCUUAGUGAACUCAUCCAAUUUGGCAUAUCUCAUUAAAAAAAAUGAUUAAAUAAGAAUGUCAAGAAAAAGAAGACUAAAACUUUAAAAGUGGGUUAGAACUUUAAACAUUAAAUACUUUAGAUAGGAAUCAUUAUGUAGCCAUUUCAUCUCAAUAUACACUAACAAUUUUCAAAAGUAGGUGGUGUUUACUAUAAGCUUAUUUAAAAGCAGAAGUUAAUAAUUGUGAGUUAAGUGAGUAUUAAAUGUUUAUUUCAAAAAAUUGGGGACAUUUGCAAAUAUGUUAGAAAAUCAACUUAAAUAGAAAAAACAAGUCUAGAGAUGUUUUUAAAAAAAUAGUUUAAAGCAACUUAUUUUAGGAGAAACAUGAACAAAAGCUAGUUUUACAAACACCGAGAAACAGAUUAUGAGCAAAAAAAACCUCAAAAGCUGCUUCUAAAAAUUUUAGCAAACAAGUGAAUGAAACAAAUAUUUAGUACGUGAAGAAAUAAUUAAAGGGCUAAACCUAUUUAAGCCCAAUUAGUAAAUUGGGCUCAGUGUUCAAAUCCGGGUCCUUCAAACGACCCACUUUUAAAACGGACAUAGAUAUUCGCCGAAGCACCACGAUUCUGAAACGCAACAAAGAUAAGGCAGAGAAAUCGUUUGAAACGUCUACAGAUGUCUACAGUUCUCUCAUUUUUUUUCUCGCUCAAUCCUCCGCUGUUCAUCCACUCGCUCUCGUUCUUCUUCAUUUAUUUUCAACGCUCUUACUCAGGUAAAUCCUCUUUUCCUUACUCUUUAAUUCAUAUAUAUUCGUCGAUAACUGCCGAUUUCUCACAUCUAGGGUUCUUUUCUCGAUUGUCUGUUAGAUUUAAAUCUUUGUGGAGAAUCGAGUGUUAGUCUUGAUUUUUUUAUGAUUUAGAUUCUUCAUUUUUUGGUUUUUUUUUUAAAUCUGUUUAUUGCGUGUGAUUUUAUGUUUAUUGAAGCUUGUGUUUAAUUUAGGGUUUAUGUUGGAAAAAUUUGGGUCUUUAGUGGGAGUUUUGCUAAAGAUCUAGACUUGAGAUCUAGACUUGAGAUGAUUAUAAAGAUCUAGACUUGCCGCCACAAUGAUACGAAUUAGAAGCUAUUGUUUUUCUGCGGUGCUGGUCAAUUGUAAUAGGAUUUGAGUUUCGCCGUGGUUUUGGCUUUCUGAUUGCUUCCUUUGUUGUUAGAGUUUGAAAUGAUAUCAGUUUCAUUCUAAUUUGAGAAAAUGCCUGCUGACUCCUUAAUUUCAGAUAUUUGAAAAAAAAAAUGUUUUCUUUUAAAACAGAAUUGGAUGCUUGUAAGAUUGUUUACAUUGUUGAACCCAGAAACAAAAUUAGUCUCUGCAGAUAGCAUUCUAAAAGCCUCUCAUUAUUUGAAAUAACAAGCAGAUCACCAGUGCUGUAUUUGUUGGUAUUCUGUGGAUGUUGAUGCAUUCAUUUUGGCUAUUUCAUAUCUAGAAAUGCUAUUGUAUGUUUUGGUUGUUUUCUAAUUUCUUUAACUUAUACGCAGACCACUCGGGUGCAGACAUGAUUGAUCGUUUUAUCGACAAUACGAUGUUCAGGGAUUAUAAUGAAGCACAUAAGGUGAGGUUGAACGGGAAGUAUAUUGAGCUUCAAUUAACUCGGAGGUUUAUGGCAGAGGUGGUUACGUUGCCUAGUCCGCUUGUUAAGCGCAUUUUGGAGAAAAAUAUGGAGGAGAAGAUGCGUGUCGGUGAAAUUAAAGAAGGUGAUUCGGUUACUGUUGACCUUGGUUCUGAUGGGAAGAUAUUGGUUCUUGACAGUAGAAGCGGUACUCUGGCGGAAGAGGCUGAGGAAGGUAGCAGUGGUGCUCCGGCAGAAGAGGCUCCGGCAGAAGAGGCUGAGGAACCAGUUAUUGUCUAGAUGUGCGCCCCAUUGUCCUUUUUCCUGUGGUGUUUAUUUAUUAUUAUUUUUUUAUCGUUCUGGCUAUGUUGAGGUGACUGUGUAGAGCCAGUGCAACGAGAAUGAUUUAGAGUGCUCUUUAACUUCAGAAUCGUUCUGGCUGUGUUGAGCUGACCUCCCAGUUGUUAUAGUAGACUAAAACUUUCCUAUGUAAACAAUUUAUUUUUAAUAAAAGUUUAUUCGUUCGAGAAUUUGCAUUUGGUUAUUAGUCGCCUAUAAUUUGAAAAAUGAUUAUUCAAUAUAUUAAUUGCAAGA
rnacentral:lncRNA from 1 species